UACGGGGGGGGCAAGCGUUGUUCGGAAUUACUGGGCGUAAAGGGCUCGUAGGUGGCCAACUAAGUCAGACGUGAAAUCCCUCGGCUUAACCGGGGAACUGCGUCUGAUACUGGAUGGCUUGAGGUUGGGAGAGGGAUGCGGAAUUCCAGGUGUAGCGGUGAAAUGCGUAGAUAUCUGGAGGAACACCGGUGGCGAAGGCGGCAUCCUGGACCGACACUGACACUGAGGAGCGAAAGCCAGGGGAGCAAACGGG
rnacentral:rRNA from 1 species